rnacentral:lncRNA from 1 species
UGUGUUACCUAGCAAUAUCCCCUCGCAAUAUAUUCAAAAGAACUGUUUCAGCAAUAUCAUCUGCAUUAUGUCCAGUAGCAACCUUGUCUACUUUCAACAAUGCAGCACCUCGAUCAAGGGCCUUCCAAAACAGGUAAGACAACAAAUUUCAAAUUUCAUUGUUGUUACGUGCUUGUUCUUUUCUUUUUUGGUUUUGGGGGGAAGGGGGUUACCUGACGACGAAAAACACCACAAAAUGUGCAAUUAUUCUUUAAACCAAUCAUCUUCACAAUCUCAUCCAUUGUCCAUCCGUACAAAUCCUUGUAGGAAACAAUCUUCAAGGGCAACCCAUACUGGAAAACAUAUAGAAACAGAAAGUCAUUGAAACAAAAUAACAACAAAUCAUUUAUGUUUCUUCAAAAUUUUCAAAGAAUUUCUGGGUAUCAAUGAAUUAGUGAAAAGUCUAAAGCUUACCUGAAUUUCAUUUCUUUUGACAGUUUCAAGCGAGUCAUCCCUGUAACCAGUUAUGCCUUCGUCAACAGACAAUAAGAAGAGGUCGAGGCCAUAAUUAUGCCGGUGAUUUAAUUCAGAUAACACAUAAGCAAGGACUGUAGAAUCUGCAAAGAUACAGAAUAAUUGGC